rnacentral:rRNA from 1 species
GUGGAUUAGAUACCCUGGUAGUCCACGCCCUAAACGAUGCAUAUUUGGUGUGGGCCAUUCAGUUGGUCCGUGCCGGAGCUAACGCGUUAAAUAUGCCGCCUGGGGAGUACAGUCGCAAGGCUGAAACUCAAAGGAAUUGACGGGGGCCCGCACAAGCGGUGGAGCAUGUGGUUUAAUUCGACGCAACGCGAAGAACCUUACCUGGGCUCGAAAUGCUAUGGACCAGCUUAUGAAAGUAGGCCUUCCCGCAAGGGACCGUAGUAUAGGUGCUGCAUGGCUGUCGACAACU